rnacentral:rRNA from 2 species
ACCUUGAAAUACCACCCUUUAAUGUUUGAUGUUCUAACGUGGACCCGUAAUCCGGGUUGCGGACAGUGUCUGGUGGGUAGUUUGACUGGGGCGGUCUCCUCCUAAAGAGUAACGGAGGAGCACGAAGGUUGGCUAAUCCUGGUCGGACAUCAGGAGGUUAGUGCAAUGGCAUAAGCCAGCUUGACUGCGAGCGUGACGGCGCGAGCAGGUGCGAAAGCAGGUCAUAGUGAUCCGGUGGUUCUGAAUGGAAGGGCCAUCGCUCAACGGAUAAAAGGUACUCCGGGGAUAACAGGCUGAUACCGCCCAAGAGUUCAUAUCGACGGCGGUGUUUGGCACCUCGAUGUCGGCUCAUCACAUCCUGGGGCUGAAGUAGGUCCCAAGGGUAUGGCUGUUCGCCAUUUAAAGUGGUACGCGAGCUGGGUUUAGAACGUCGUGAGACAGUUCGGUCCCUAUCUGCCGUGGGCGCUGGAGAACUGAGGGGGGCUGCUCCUAGUACGAGAGGACCGGAGUGGACGCAUCACUGGUGUUCGGGUUGUCAUGCCAAUGGCACUGCCCGGUAGCUAAAUGCGGAAGAGAUAAGUGCUGAAAGCAUCUAAGCACGAAACUUGCCCCGAGAUGAGUUCUCCCUGAGACUU